rnacentral:rRNA from 1 species
CAAUGGAGGAAACUCUGAUGCAGCGAUGCCGCGUGAGUGAAGAAGGCCCUUGGGUUGUAAAGCUCUUUCGUCGGGGAAGAAAAUGACUGUACCCGAAUAAGAAGGUCCGGCUAACUUCGUGCCAGCAGCCGCGGUAAUACGAAGGGACCUAGCGUAGUUCGGAAUUACUGGGCUUAAAGAGUUCGUAGGUGGUUGAAAAAGUUAGUGGUGAAAUCCCAGAGCUUAACUCUGGAACUGCCAUUAAAACUUUUCAGCUAGAGUAUGAUAGAGGAAAGCAGAAUUUCUAGUGUAGAGGUGAAAUUCGUAGAUAUUAGAAAGAAUACCAAUUGCGAAGGCAGCUUUCUGGAUCAUUACUGACACUGAGGAACGAAAGCAUGGGUAGCGAAGAGGAUUAGAUACCCUCGUAGUCCAUGCCGUAAACGAUGUGUGUUAGACGUUGGAAAUUUAUUUUCAGUGUCGCAGGGAAACCGAUAAACACACCGCCUGGGGAGUACGACCGCAAGGUUAAAACUCAAAUGAAUUGACGGGGACCCGCACAAGUAGUGGAGCAUGUGGUUUAAUUCGAAGAUACGCGCAGAACCUUACCAACACUUGAUAUGUUCGUCGCGACUCUAAGAGAUUAGAGUUUUCGGUUCGGCCGGACGAAACACAGGUGCUGCAUGGCUGUCGUCAGCUCGUGUCGUGAGAUGUUGGGUUAAGUCCCGCAACGAGCGCAACCCUCACUUUUAGUUGCCAUCAUUAAGUUGGGCACUCUGAAAGAACUGCCAGUGAUAAACUGGAGGAAGGUGGGGAUGACCUCAAGUCCUCAUGGCCCUUA